UACGUAGGGGGCAAGCGUUGGUCCGGAUUUAUUGGGCGUAAAGAGCGUGUAGGCGGCCAGGUAGGUCUGCUGUGAAAACUCGAGGCUUAACCUCGAGAUGUCGGCGGAAACCAUCUGGCUAGAGUCCGGAAGAGGAGAGUGGAAUUCCUGGUGUAGCGGUGAAAUGCGCAGAUAUCAGGAAGAACACCCGUGGCGAAGGCGGCUCUCUGGGACGGUACUGACGCUGAGGCAUGAAAGCGUGGGGAGCAAACAGG
rnacentral:rRNA from 1 species